CCUACGGGUGGCAGCAGUGAGGAAUAUUGGUCAAUGGGCGGAAGCCUGAACCAGCCAAGUCGCGUGAGGGAUUAAGGCCCUGCGGGUCGUAAACCUCUUUUGCCGGGGAGCAGUGGUCCGGACGCGUCCGGACCGGGAGAGUACCCGGAGAAAAAGCAUCGGCUAACUCCGUGCCAGCAGCCGCGGUAAUACGGAGGAUGCGAGCUUUAUCCGGAUUUAUUGGGUUUAAAGGGUGCGUAGGCGGUCCGUUAAGUCCGCGGUAAAAUUGCGGGGCUCAACCCCGUCGAGCCGUUGAAACUGGCAGACUUGAGUUGGCGAGAAGUACGCGGAAUGCGCGGUGUAGCGGUGAAAUGCAUAGAGAUCGCGCAGAACUCCGAUUGCGAAGGCAGCGUACCGGCGCCAGACUGACGCUGAGGCACGAAAGCGUGGGGAUCGAACAGGAUUAGAUACCCUAGUAGUC
rnacentral:rRNA from 1 species